AACGCUAGCUACAGGCUGAACACAUGCAAGUCGAGGGGCAGCAUAGAAGUAGCAAUACUUAGCGGCGACCGGAGCACGGGUGAGUAACGCGUAUGCAACCUACCUAUCAGAGGGGAAUAACCCGGCGAAAGUCGGACUAAUACCGCAUAAAACAGGGGCACCGCAUGGUGAUAUUUGUUAAAGAAAUUCGCUGAUAGAUGGGCAUGCGUUCCAUUAGGUAGUUGGUGAGGUAACGGCUCACCAAGCCGACGAUGGAUAGGGGAACUGAGAGGUUGGUCCCCCACACUGGUACUGAGACACGGACCAGACUCCUACGGGAGGCAGCAGUGAGGAAUAUUGGUCAAUGGGCGGGAGCCUGAACCAGCCAAGUCGCGUGAAGGAAGAAGGAUCUAUGGUUCGUAAACUUCUUUUGCAGGGGAAUAAAGUGCAGGACGUGUCCUGUUUUGUAUGUACCCUGAGAAUAAGGAUCGGCUAACUCCGUGCCAGCAGCCGCGGUAAUACGGAGGAUCCGAGCGUUAUCCGGAUUUAUUGGGUUUAAAGGGUGCGUAGGUGGUUUGAUAAGUCAGCGGUGAAAGUUUGCAGCUUAACUGUAAAAAUGCCGUUGAAACUGUCGGACUUGAGUGUAAAUGAGGUAGGCGGAAUGCGUGGUGUAGCGGUGAAAUGCAUAGAUAUCACGAAGAACUCCGAUUG
rnacentral:rRNA from 1 species